rnacentral:lncRNA from 1 species
UUAUAAUGAAAUACCAAGCACUUUUUCCUUAACCCAACAGUAACAAAAUUCACCGACCGUCACUAGAGCAAGUGGCAAAGGGCUUGGUGGUUGGUACCCGAGACCCAAGUCCGAAUCCUAGUUGAUUCACAUUUUCAGUUAAGUUUAUUUCUAAAUGAAAUAAACGAAGCGGGUAACGCGCGUGCUACCUAUCUCUCAAAAAAAAAAAAACCAUUAAAAAAAACAGUAACAAAAUUCUAC